AGACGUCUACAUUAGAUACCCGGGUAGUCCCAGCCGUAAACUAUGCGCGUUAGGUGUAUCGGUGACCACGAGUUACCGAGGUGCCGAAGGGAAACCGUGAAACGUGCCGCCUGGGAAGUACGGUCGCAAGGCUGAAACUUAAAGGAAUUGGCGGGGAGCACAACAACGGGUGGAGCCUGCGGUUUAAUUGGACUCAACGCCGGACAACUCACCGGGACGACAGCAAUAUGUAGGCCAGGCUGAAGACCUUGCCUGAAUCGCUG
rnacentral:rRNA from 1 species